AAAAAAGGAUAUUGAUAGGUUUCCAUGUAGCUAGGAAACAAACAGAGUCGCGAUAACACAGUUUCUUCCAUCAACAAUGUCUUCUUCAACCUUAUGCUUAUUUUCUGGAAAAAAACAACUUCGUAGCAAUAAAAAUAGCACACAUACAACAAUCAGUGAGAUGAAGCAACGAAUUUCUCAUGUAGCGGUAGGGAUUUGUCAAAUUUAAAAAGAUAUGUGAAAGAAAGUGAUGAGAUUCAAGGGUAAAAGAGACAAAUGGGGGUAUAUAGUUUCACGGUAAAGAUACUCGAUUCUGAGAAGCUAGGGAAAGCAGCUUCUAUAAAAAUCGAUUCUGGAAAAGCAAACGUACGACGGCGGUACAGUGUUGCUGGUGAACCAAACACUUUGAAAUUGCUUUUGACAGGUGAAACGCGCUUUGUAUUGCUUUCACCGGGCAACCAAACUAAUGCUAAGAAACUCCAUCAAAUCAACACAGAUAUGUGUUCAUAUUGUUCUUCUUCAACCAGAUCUUCCUCAUCUUCCCAAAACCACAAAACCCAUUCACAAAGCCACUGAGUAAAUCUGUCACGAACAUCUUGUUCAAGAUCUGAUGAUGAUGAUGAUGAUGCUAUCGUUUGGGAUAACAAAAUCAAAAUUUAUCUGACUGUGAUUUCCUUGAUUAAAAUAGAAGCGUCCCCCAAUCAUAGACAUUGGGCCUAGAAUCAUUGUCAGUUAUCGCCGUAUGACUCUUAUGCAAAACGGAGAACAUAACAACAUAAGUGUUGCAGUAAUUGAUGUUCCGACCGAUCCAAAUAUUCUGAUAAGUCCAGGAGAGGGUGGAUUUCCCAUUGAAAACAAUCUUCACUUGAUGUCUGCAUUAAAUGGACUUGGAUUUGGGAUUGGCCCUGAUUUCCACAAGGUUUUUUCAACCCUCACAGCCGAGAGAUAUCUGAAGCUGUAGUUGGUAAUCCUCUUAUCCUUGAUUUGCAAGAUAUGAUGGUGAGCGUGGGUUAUGAUGGUAGUCGGUACAAAUUCUUAGGUCUGGUUGAGAUAGAAAAUCAUGGUACACAUGUAGUUGUUUACACUGUUGGUGCUGAUGAUGUUGGUGCUGAUGAUGAAGCUUGGAGACCCAAACAGUUGAUUCCUUGGCACCUUAGAACUGAUGAGUGGAUACGUAGUGCCGGAGCAUACAUUUCUGUUUGGUGAUUCAACUGUAGUGUACUUUCUCAGAUUUACAAUGGAUCCAGAAUAUGAGGACGAGAUUCUUUCGUUUAACUUUGAAACAGAAGUCAUGUAUAUGCCACUCCCUCACGAAGAAUAUCAAUCUCAUUCACUUUUAUGCGCUUUAGGCAAUAGGUUGUGUUGUUCUUAUGUGGCGUUCAACUCAUUGUCUAUAUAUCAACUUGUGGAUAACAUUUUAGGACUAUUACGUGUAACCGUGCUACCUAUAAUGCUGCCUCAUGUGUCACAUCGCCGUUUUCUACCGAUCCAUUUCCACAACAAUAUUUUGCUAGUGGCUUUUAGGCUCAAUUUUGAUAUCCCAUUAUUCGGAAAUAGAGACCAGCACUGUUUAAUUAUUGAUUUUGCUGCCAAUACAACAUCUCUCGUCAAUAGUCCUGGCGGUAUCAACCGGUUCCUUGCUAAACCAUUUGUGGAGAGUCUCGAAGUUUUGCCUUAUUGAGAUUAAUGUUACGCAUGAUGCUACAAGUGAGAAGGGAAGCAUGCAAGGACCCCCAAUGGAACAAAAGACAAGGAAGUCCAAAAGAACGGUCAAGCUCCCUAGCAAAUUCAAGGAUUAAAGAGUCUCUAGAAGGAUCCAAAGAUAAGACCAUUGAGCUAGCCUUAGUACCUGAAUAAAGGACAAAUUAUAUUAGCUAUUUUUAUUUUUAUUUUUCUUUAUGCAAAUUAAUAGGAUGUGGACACUUGUCUCCAUAUCCUUUUAUCUUGGGAUGUAAUGUUACUUCUGAUAGGACCUUAAAAGGAACCUAGUAUUCAAUAAAAGACUAAGAAAAUUAGUUCUCAAAUUCCUUUA